GUGUUUGGCACCUCGAUGUCGGCUCAUCACAUCCUGGGGCUGAAGUAGGUCCCAAGGGUAUGGCUGUUCGCCAUUUAAAGUGGUACGCGAGCUGGGUUUAGAACGUCGUGAGACAGUUCGGUCCCUAUCUGCCGUGGGCGCUGGAGAAUUGAGGGGGGCUGCUCCUAGUACGAGAGGACCGGAGUGGACGCAUCACUGGUGUUCGGGUUGUCAUGCCAAUGGCACUGCCCGGUAGCUAAAUGCGGAAGAGAUAAGUGCUGAAAGCAUCUAAGCACGAAACUUGCCCCGAGAUGAGUUCUCCCUGACUCCUUGAGAGUCCUGAAGGAACGUUGAAGACGACGACGUUGAUAGGCCGGGUGUGUAAGCGCAGCGAUGCGUUGAGCUAACCGGUACUAAUGAACCGUGAGGCUUAACCUUACAACGCCGAAG
rnacentral:rRNA from 1 species